AUUGAACGCUGGCGGCAGGCCUAACACAUGCAAGUCGAGCGGAUGAAGGGAGCUUGCUCCUGGAUUCAGCGGCGGACGGGUGAGUAAUGCCUAGGAAUCUGCCUGUAGUGGGGGAUAACGUCCGGAAACGGGCGCUAAUACCGCAUACGUCCUGAGGGAGAAAGUGGGGGAUCUUCGGACCUCACGCUAUCAGAUGGGCCUAGGUCGGAUUAGCUAGUUGGUGGGGUAAAGGCCUACCAAGGCGACGAUCCGUAACUGGUCUGAGAGGAUGAUCAGUCACACUGGAACUGAGACACGGUCCAGACUCCUACGGGAGGCAGCAGUGGGGAAUAUUGGACAAUGGGCGAAAGCCUGAUCCAGCCAUGCCGCGUGUGUGAAGAAGGUCUUCGGAUUGUAAAGCACUUUAAGUUGGGAGGAAGGGCAGUAAGUUAAUACCUUGCUGUUUUGACGUUACCAACAGAAUAAGCACCGGCUAACUUCGUG
rnacentral:rRNA from 1 species